rnacentral:rRNA from 1 species
AUGAGGAAUUUCGUCGAGAAACUGGUUCUCUCUUUGCUAUGGAUCUCACUGCUCCAAGGAUGCAUUGUCCAGUCUGUGGAAUAUGAUCAUACGGCUAGUAUCGAGUGCCUGGGUGAUCCGAUGAAGCCCCUCUACAAAGGCGGCAUCAUCCAGAACGGCGAGUUCAACAACGGCCUGAUGGGGUGGUCGACGCGCCGGGACAUCAAGGCCGGCAUCAGAAAGUCGGCCUCCGGCAACAAGUUCGCCGUGGUGCAGGGCGCGAGGAGCCUCCCGUCGAGCGUCUACCAGAAAAUCCAGAUGAAGGGCGACACUCACUACUCGCUAUCAGCAUGGCUGCGGGUGUCGGCCGGCACGGCCCACGUGCGCGCGGUGGUCAAGGCCCCCAACGGCGAGAACAUCACCGCCGGCGGCAUCGACGCCCAGUCCGGCUGCUGGACCAUGCUCAAGGGUGGCAUGACUGCGCGCGCCUAUCACUACGGACAAGGAGAGGUCUUCUUCGAGAGCGACGCUCAGGUGGACAUCUGGGUGGACAGCGUCUCCCUGCAGCCCUUCUCUUUCGAGGAAUGGGACGCCCAUGCUCGCCAGUCCGCCAACAAGGCCCGCCGGAGCGCGGUCAAGAUCGUCGCCAGGGGCCCCGACGGCCAACCGAUGGCGAACGCCAACGUGAGCAUCCAGCUCCUCCGCGCCGGGUUCCCGUUCGGCAACGCGAUGACCAAGGAGAUCCUCAGCAACCCGGCCUAUGAGAAGUGGUUCUUCUCGCGCUUCAAUGUGGCGACCAUGGAGAACGAGAUGAAGUGGUACGGCACGGAGUGGGCCCAGAACCAGGAAGACUACCGCACCCCGGACGCCAUGAUGGCGCUGGCCCAGAAGUACGGCGUCAAGGUGCGCGGGCACAACGUGUUCUGGGAUGACCAGAACUCACAGCUCAAGUGGGUGACGCCCAUGAACCUGAACCAGCUCAAGGCGGCGAUGCAGAAGCGGCUCAAGAACGUGGUGUCGCGCUACGCCGGGAGGCUCAUCCACUGGGACGUGGUGAACGAGAACGUGCACUUCAACUUCUUCGAGACCAAGCUCGGCCCCAACGCGUCGCCCUUGAUCUACCAGCAGGUCGGCCAGAUCGACCACACCGCCAUCCUCUUCAUGAACGAGUUCAACACGCUGUCGCAGCCCAUGGACCCCAACUGCACUCCCACCAAGUACAUGGCCAAGAUGAAGCUCAUUCAGGGCUACCCCGGUGCCGGCCUCAAGCUCGGCGUCGGGCUCGAGAGCCACUUCACCACGCCCAACCUCCCCUACGUCAGGGGCGCCCUCGACACGCUCGCGCAGCUCAAGCUGCCCAUGUGGAUGACCGAGGUCGACGUCGUCAAGGGCCCCAACCAGGUCAAGUUCCUGGAGUAGAUACUCAGGGAAGGCUACGGCCAACCCGGCGUGCAGGGCAUCGUCAUGUGGGCCGCGUGGCACCCCUUCGGAUGCUACGUCAUGUGCCUCACCGACAACAGCUUCAAGAACCUCCCCGUCGGCGACCUUGUCGACAAGCUCAUCGCCGAGUGGAAGACGCACAAGACGUCCGCCGCCACCGACGCGAAUGGAAUGCUCGAGCUCGACCUCGCCCAUGGUGAUUACAAGUUAACGGUGAACCACCCUUCGCAGACGACGGCCGUCUCCCACACCAUGACGGUGGAUGCGGGGUCAGCAGCCUCCGAGCACAUCAUCACCGUGAAGGCGUAG